UACUUCGGUACAUCCAAGACAGGUGGUGCAUGGUUGUCGUCAGCUCGUGUCGUGAGAUGUUGGGUUAAGUUCCGCAACGAGCGCAACCCUUAUCUUCAGUAGCCAGCAGGUAAAGCCGGGCACUCUGGAGAGACUGCCGGGGAUAACCCGGAGGAAGGUGGGGAUGACGUCAAAUCAUCAUGCCCCUUAUGAUUUGGGCUACACACGUGCUACAAUGGCGUAAACAGAGGGAAGCGAGCCCGCGAGGGGGAGCAAAUCCCAAAAAUAGCGUCCCAGUUCGGAUUGUAGUCUGCAACCCGACUACAUGAAGCUGGAAUCGCUAGUAAUCGCGGAUCAGAAUGCCGCGGUGAAUACGUUCCCGGGUCUUGUACACACCGCCCGUCACACCAUGGGAGCCGGAAAUGCCCGAAGUCUGUGACCUAACCGUAAGGGAGGAGCAGCCGAAGGCAGGUCGGAUGACUGGGGUGAAGUCGUAACAAGGUAGCCGUAUCGGAAGGUGCGG
rnacentral:rRNA from 1 species